GAUGAACGCUGGCGGCGUGCUUAACACAUGCAAGUCGAGCGAACAGGCGAGGCUUUUUCUGCGCUUUCGUUACGGGCGGAUGGGUAAGUCAUACGUGGAUAACCUAUCUAUAUGAGUGAGAUAUCUUCGAGAAACUGUAGUACAUACCGGAUAAGUUAUCGAACCGCAUGGUUUUAUAGUGAAAUACGGUUUUUCUGUCACUUAGAGAUCGAUCCGCGCCGCAUUAGCUAGUUGGCAAGGUAACGGCUUACCAAGGCAACGAUGGGUAGGCGACGGGAGAGGGGGAUCGCCCGCCCGAGAGGGGAGCCGCGGUCAAGGCUCCUACGGGAGGCAGCAGUAGGGAAUCGUCCGCAAUGGGCGAAAGCCUGACGGAGCGACGCCGAGUGAGUGAUGAAGGUCUUCGGAUCGUAAUACUCUGUUAUUAGGGAAGAACAAAUGUGUAAGUAACUGUGCACGUCUUGACGGUACCUAAACAGAAAGCCACGGCUAACUACGUG
rnacentral:rRNA from 1 species